GAUGAACGCUGGCGGCGUGCUUAACACAUGCAAGUCGAACGGAGUUAUCAUUUUUGAAGCAAAUAGCUUGCUAGGAGUGGAGAUGUUGAUAACUUAGUGGCGGACGGGUGAGUAACGCGUGGGUAACCUGCCGUAUACAGGGGGAUAACACUUAGAAAUAGGUGCUAAUACCGCAUAAGCGCACAGUUCUGCAUGGGACAGUGUGAAAAACUGAGGUGGUAUACGAUGGACCCGCGUCUGAUUAGCCAGUUGGCAGGGUAACGGCCUACCAAAGCGACGAUCAGUAGCCGGCCUGAGAGGGCGGACGGCCACAUUGGGACUGAGACACGGCCCAA
rnacentral:rRNA from 1 species